rnacentral:rRNA from 1 species
UGAGGAAUAUUGGGCAAUGCCCGAAAGGGUGACCCAGCAACGCCGCGUGGAGGAUGAAGGUCGUAAGAUUGUAAACUCCUGCUAGAGGGGAAGAAUAACUAAGUUUGGAGCUUAGUAUGACUGUACCCUCAGAGAAAGCCCCGGCUAACUACGUGCCAGCAGCCGCGGUAAUACGUAGGGGGCAAGCGUUGUCCGGAUUUACUGGGUGUAAAGGGCGCGCAGGCGGAAUGGAAAGUCAGUGGUGAAAUCCUACAGCUUAACUGUAGAACUGCCUUUGAUACUUUUAUUCUUGAGUUCGGGAGAGAGAGACGGAAUUCCAGGUGUAGUGGUGAAAUACGUAGAUAUCUGGAAGAACACCAGUUGCGAAGGCGGUCUCUUGGUCCGACACUGACGCUGAGGCGCGAAAGCGUGGGGAGCAAACA